rnacentral:hammerhead_ribozyme from 1 species
AUCUAGCUGACGUGUCCCAAAUAGGACGAAACGCGCAUCCUGAAU